GGCCGAUAGUCAGCUAGUGCUAUUCCUUCUUAUCUCCUCAUCAAUUCGCGGCGUAGCUCGGUAUCAAUCAGCAUUUGGAUUGCGCGCAAUUGCGCGUGGAGUUCUGGAGUGCUUCGUAGUGCUUCGUCGUAAAAUUCGCCUUAACCUCGAAUUCCGGGAGGCUUGCCGCGCGAUUAUCGUAUUCGGACAAUGAAUUCGCGUUAACCUCGAUUACCGGGGAUGCCGUAUCAAGUACCGCGCGAUUGUCGUGUUCGGACAAUGAAUUCGCGUGUACGGAGUAAAGUCGUCCGUCGUGAGUGGUAGUGUAGUGUUGUGUUGUGAAGUGUUGUGUUGUGCCACAAAGGAGUCUGAGAGGAGGAGGAGGCCUAGGAGAAGGCGUCAGGCGACGGCGGAGCAACCAUGGAUUAUUUUGAUUAACUCCGCUGCUGCGCAUCGAUCCGGAAUCAAACUGCGGCUCGCAUGCGGAUUUUUCUUCCCCGGCUUCCUCUUUAAUGUCGAACGACCAACAUCUUCGGCGCUCCUUCUUCACGCGCUAAAGAGGGAGACAUGGAACUAUCCAUGGCACCCCAUUCAAGGCUAAAAGGAUUCGGCAAUAAACAACGGUGAGUCUCAAAAUUAGGCGUGGGUCGCAAUCUACAUCGAAACCCCUGCGGUGGUAAACUCAUCGGUCUCACCCUCGCCGAAAGUCACUACGGGGUAUUUGCAAUUCAGACACGCGGGCGUCUUAGAUCGCGUUUGGAUAAGACGCAUGCAAAAAGCAGUAUCUAUUUGCGUCAGUACGCUCUCGCCAGACCGGAGGGCAAGCCUCAAGCAAUCCUUCCACCCACAUUUGGGCGAUGGGAUGGUUCUUCUUCACGCGCGUUUACAAGGCGGAUCGUAUGCAAAUCUCUAGCGGCUUAAUUACGCGACACGCCUACUAUAUGAGGUCUCGGAUCGCACGUAACGCGAACCGGAAGUCAAUAUAUCUGGCCGACGAUAAGAAGAAACUCAUUCGCAGAUCGCUGUUCAUUCUUUUACGUAUCAAUAGAUGCUGCCGAUCGAGAGGAAGCAGAGAGAGGAAGAGUAGACGAAGAGAACAGAAGAAGAGAGGAGAGAGGGAGACAGAGAAAGACAGAGAGAACGGAAAGAAAGGAAUGCAGUGGAAGAGGAAGCUUUUACACGUCAUUUAGGCACCUGUAGCUGCGACUUCUGAUGCGUCAGCAUUUUGCUCGCGUGUUAAGGCUUCCUCUCCUCCGUUCUCCGGUGGACCCGUUGACGAGACAUAGGCUGUUGGAUAGGACAAGGGUUGGCAAGAAUGAAGAGGAGAUGGGUGGCAGAUACGAACUUCCUUCUUUGUCGGCCAGGGAGUCGAAUGGCGGACAGGCGGACGGGUUAAAUUUGCAUGGACGCUUGUCUGCGUUUCCAAUUUCACGCAUGCACACAUUCAACAGCCCCGGGAACAGUUUGGGAACAGUCGGCGAGGGAAAGGAGGGGAGAAAGGGGGAGAGGGUUGGCUGAUAAUAAACGGCGUCGAUUUCGGCAUAAAUCAAGGCCGCGAAUCCCGGCGCGCAUCUUCGCGAGCGAACGAAAAAAAAGGAGGGGAUUGUAGGGUAGAGAGGGCGAGAGGAGUCGGUCCAUCGACAACGGCCAAAUUAAUCCGGCAAGCUUAAACAAGCGGAAACCACCCCCGCAAACCAUACCCUCUUGCGGUGAGGAAUUCCCGCAACGGACCGCGCGGGAUUCCUGUUGCAUUUGCAUGUGUUAUUAUUACUAUCGUUUAAUAUACACGGCGUACUGGUAUUAUUCGAUUCGGUGCAAAUUUUGUCUUAACAAAGCCGUCAAGACACGAAUGACUUUCUCAAGAGUUGCAGAUAAGCUUGAUGCAAUUAAACAAUUAUAUAAUUCAUAUUAUAUUAUUUUCGGCGAAAUCGGAAGAGUCAAAUCCAAAUUCGAAUUAAAGUCACGAUUUAUGCACCUUGUAAAUUGAUCUGUUAUAUGUCUAACAGCUAUUUAAGGCUCAAGAUACUUGGAGGAACAAAAUUCGUUUUUAUUUUACCUCUUAGAUGCAAAUGUCUACAUUUUGAGAGUGUGUUGAACUUCCGGCACCUCAGAUUUUACAAAUUCGGAGAUUUAACAAAUACGAUGAAUAUAGAAUUGCUAACGAUUUGCAAUUGUCUGCAGUAUAACUAGAGCAGACGAGUGAUUUUUUUUCGACAUAUCGAUUGUUAUAAUCGGCUUAGUCGUUCGGUUGUAUAGUGAAACGUGCGACUGGCUGUAUAGCCAGUGUAUACACGCGUGUAUGCACGCAAGUGAAAUACGAAAGCACGAUCUCUUAAACUUUUUGCGUGAUACAGAACCAAAGAAUCUUCUAAUAAAUUAAUUUAUAUGUAUAUAGAGAAAUAUUCACAUGGCAGUUCUCGUAAAAUUAAAUUUGCAAGUAAUCCACUUCAUGUUACUUAGAAUCAAUAUAUUUUUUAAUAAUUAAUCCUUUGCAGGCAACGUAGAUCUUUUAAUAUCCAGGCGAUUUUUCUAUUUUUAAUUAUUCGGACACCUCAAAUUCAUACAUGUACGCGGAAAAAAAAUUUUUUAGUUGUUGCAGCAAGAAUCUGUGUGCUAACUAAAUUUCAAUUGUACAUAACUAAAAUUUAUGUACCACGCACAGAUUUUUGCUGCUGCAACUAACUGUAACUAAUCCUUUUUUCCGCGUAUGAAAACAAUAAGAAACGUUUUGAAUCAAACAACUCUAAAAUCGUAUUCCUAAAUAUUGAAAAAGUACACCAGAUUUUUGAGCUCAUUAACCCUUUGAAAAACAUAAUGUUACCUCAUUAUGUCUAAAGAUAAGACAUUAAAGAUGAAACAUUUUUUAAAACAUUGAGAAAACCAUGAAAAAAUGACAGAUUGUUUUAUAUUAUAUUUGAAAGUAGCAGAAAAAAUUU